CGCAGCCAGUGCUCCCAGCACUUAAUUUUUCUCUUUUUUUCCUCCUGGUUGCCUUUAUCAGAUCAUCACUGCCUUGUUGCAGAAUUGGACCAGCAUGGCUGGGUGCUGAGCUGAUGAGACCAUCCUCUUCCUGAGAGCAAGAGAAGCCAGGCACCAGAAAGUAUUGAAGAUGUGGUAGAAAAGGCCCCGGCAGAACGUGGUGGGCAGCCCAGCCCACCGGGGAAGAAGGCGGCGAGGCACAGAAGUGCGCGCUGGGAGAGCCCUGCAGCAGCUGGGGCAGGCAGGGCUGGUGGAGAGCUGGCCUGGGUGGGAAAUAUCCUCCUUGGGGGGCAGGAAAACCAACCAGCCCAAACUGGGAGCCGAACCUCCACAGCCGCCUCGGACUUGCCCUCGCGACCUUCGCCAGGAGCAGCCCUGAGAGAAGACACCACCUCUUUGUGUCACAAAAGCAAAUAAACCCCAUAAAAUAUCCAC